rnacentral:lncRNA from 1 species
AUGGGGGCCGUUAUGACGGGCUCCAGGCGCCGGUCCACGCCGUGCCGCACCGACAUCUUGUCCUCCUUGGUCAGGUUGAGCCUCGGCCCCCGGAUGUGCAGGUCCUGCCGGCCGCGGACCGCCAGCGCCCGGAGGGGCUCCGGCUGCGACGCCUCGGCGCACGGCGCCGGCGGCGGCGAUGUCGCUGACGCAGAUGCGCAGGUUCUUCACCACGUGCACCUGAUUGUUGGGGUCCCGGAUGUGGCCUGGAAGAAUGGCGGCGCGGCGUUAGCGUGGCGGCGGCGGCGGCGGCGGCGGGGGCCGCUGGUGUCUCACCUGCUGAGUCGCGGUCAGGCGGCGGCCAUGACAGGGAGUCGAGGGGGGGCGAGGGCGCUCCCUCGCUCACUCAAUGCCUCCCUCACUCACUCCCUUGUUCACUUACUCUGCUCCUCGCUCGCUCACUCAUUUCCUCCCUCGCUCACUCACUCAUUUCCUCGCUCGCUCAUUUCCACCCUCACUCACUCAGUUCCUCCCUCUCUCUCAUUUCCUCACUCACUCACUCAUUUCCUCCCUCUCUCACUCACUUCCUCACUCACUCAUUUCCUCCCUCUCUCACUCAUUUCCUCCCUCGCUCACUCACUCAUUUCUUCCCUCUCUCACUCACUCACUCAUUUCCUCCCUCUCUCACUCACUUCCUCACUCACUCACUCAUUUCCUCCCUCUCUCACUCACUCAUUUCCCUCCCUCUCUCACUCACUUCCUCACUCACUCACUCAUUUCCUCCCCUCUCUCACUCAUUUCCUCCCUCUCUCACUCACUUCCUCACUCACUCACUCACUUCCUCCCUCCCUCUCACUCAUUCCCUCACUCACUCAUUUCCUCCCUCGCUCGCUCACUCAUUUCCUCCCUCACUCACUCAUUUCCUCCCUUGCUGGCUCACUCACUCACUCAUUUCCUCCCUCUCUCACUCACUUCCUCACUCACUCAUUUCCUCCCUCUCUCACUCAUUUCCUCCCUCGCUCACUCACUCAUUUCUUCCCUCUCUCACUCACUCACUCAUUUCCUCCCUCUCUCACUCACUUCCUCACUCACUCACUCAUUUCCUCCCUCUCUCACUCAUUUCCUCCCUCUCUCACUCACUCAUUUCCUCCCUCUGUCACUCACUUCCUCCCUCCCUCUCACUCAUUCCCUCACUCACUCAUUUCCUCCCUCGCUCGCUCACUCAUUUCCUCCCUCGCUCGCUCACUCAUUUCCUCCCUCGCUCACUCACUCAUUUCCUCGCUCGCUCAUUUCCACCCUCACUCACUCAGUUCCUCCCUCUCUCUCAUUUCCUCCCUCACUCACUCAUUUCCUCCCUUGCUGGCUCACUCACUCACUCAUUUCCUCCCUCUCUCACUCACUUCCUCACUCACUCACUCAUUUCCUCCCUCUCUCACUCAUUUCCUCCCUCGCUCACUCACUCACUCAUUUCCUCCCUCUCUCACUCACUCAUUUCCUCCCUCUGUCACUCACUUCCUCCCUCCCUCUCACUCAUUCCCUCACUCACUCAUUUCCUCCCUCGCUCGCUCACUCAUUUCCUCCCUCGCUCACUCACUCAUUUCCUCGCUCGCUCAUUUCCACCCUCACUCACUCAGUUCCUCCCUCUCUCUCAUUUCCUCCCUCACUCACUCAUUUCCUCCCUCUCUCACUCACUUCCUCACUCACUCACUCAUUUCCUCCCUCGCUCACUCACUCAUUUCCUCCCUUGCUGGCUCACUCACUCACUCAUUUCCUCCCUCUCUCACUCACUUCCUCACUCACUCAUUUCCUCCCUCUCUCACUCAUUUCCUCCCUCGCUCACUCACUCAUUUCCUCCCUCUCUCACUCACUCAUUUCCUCCCUCGCUCGCUCACUCAUUUCCUUAAAAGCUCACAAGUUUGUUUUUUGCAGAACAAUAAAUAAAUACGUAAGUAAGUAAAUAAAUAAAUAAAUAAAUAAGUAAAUAAGUAAGUAAAUAAGUAAGUAAAUAAAUAAAUAAAUAAGUAAAUAAGUAAGUAAAUAAGUAAGUAAAUAAAUAAAUAAAUAAAUAAGUAUAUAAGUACAUAAGUAAAUAAGUAAGUAAAUAAAUAAAUAAAUAAAUAAGUAUAUAAGUAAAUAAGUAAGUAAAUAAAUAAAAAAUAAAAAAAUAAAUAAGUAAAUAAGUAAGUAAAUAAAUA